GGGCACAUGGUGUAGUUGGUUAUCACGCCCGCUUAGCAUUCUGCGUCUGCGGGUGGUCCCCGGUUCAAUUCCGGGUGUGUCCA
rnacentral:tRNA from 1 species